CCUACGGGGCGCAGCAGUGAGGAAUAUUGGUCAAUGGGCGGAAACCUGAACCAGCCAAGUAGCGUGCAGGAUGACGGCCCUACGGGUUGUCAACUGCUUUUAUACGGGAAUAACGCGCCUUACGUGUAGGUCUUUUCAUGUACCGUAUGAAUAAGGACCGGCUAAUUCCGUGCCAGCAGCCGCGGUAAUACGGAAGGUCCGGGCUUUAUCCGGAUUUAUUGGGUUUAAAGGGAGCGUAGGCCGCAUGUCAAGCGUGCUGUGAAAUGUCCGGGCUCAACCCGGGCCUUGCAGCGAGAACUGGCGUGCGUGAGUCCGCGGAAAGCAGGCGGAAUUCGUCGAGUAGCGGUGAAAUGCUUAGAUAUGACGAAGAACCCCGAUUGCGAAGGCAGCUUGCUGCAGCGGAACUGACGCUGAUGCUCGAAAGCGCGGGUAUCGAACAGGAUUAGAUACCCGUGUAGUC
rnacentral:rRNA from 1 species